CCCUUAGAUGUCCUGGGCCGCACGCGCACUACACUGAUGCAUUCAACGAGUUUUACCUUGGCCGAGAGGCCUGGGCAAUCUUUUAAACCUGCAUCGUGAUAGGGAUAGAUUAUUGCAAUUAUUAAUCUUGAACGAGGAAUUCCUAGUAAACGCAGAUCAUCAAUCUGCAUUGAUUACGUCCCUGCCCUUUGUACACACCGCCCGUCGCACCUACCGAUUGAAUGGUCCGGUGAAGCCUCGGGAUUGUGGCCAGUUCACUUUAUUGGGAGUUGGCUGCGAGAACUUGUCUAAACCUUAUCAUUUAGAGGAAGGUGAAGUCGUAACA
rnacentral:rRNA from 1 species